rnacentral:rRNA from 1 species
UACGUAGGGGGCGAGCGUUGUCCGGAUUUAUUGGGCGUAAAGAGCGUGUAGGCGGCCAGGUAGGUCUGCUGUGAAAACUCGAGGCUCAACCUCGAGACGUCGGCGGAAACCAUCUGGCUAGAGUCCGGAAGAGGAGAGUGGAAUUCCUGGUGUAGCGGUGAAAUGCGCAGAUAUCAGGAAGAACACCCGUGGCGAAGGCGGCUCGCUGGGACGGUACUGACGCUGAGACGCGAAAGCGUGGGGAGCGAACAGG